rnacentral:lncRNA from 1 species
GGUUACCUGGUACUUGGUCCUGGGGUGCUUUAGUGCAGGAGAGAUAUUGGCGUGGGGUGUGAGAGUUGGAUAAAGAGGUAAUUGGGGCUGUAGACUCUAGACUGGUUGGCUGUAUAUGAGAGAGGUGCUCUGGGUCAAGGCUUUUGCCAUCUCUAAGAAAGGGCUAGCCCUGGGAGGGGCAGUCUCUCCAGAGCCAGCAAACUUUUAAAGAUGUCACCAUAAAAUACAGAAAAUAAGCAUAAGCACACCAACUUACAGGAUGUCCAGUUCAUUCAACAACAUUUCUUUAAAACACGAUCUUCACACUAUUCACAGCCAAGAUUUGACUCAACCUCAGUGUCCAUCAACAAGUGAAAAGAUGAAGAAAAUACGAAGAAGAUCCUUCAGAGCAACGAUUGCAUAGAAGCAGCCUUCUGAUCUGAGGACCCCUGCAGAUCAGAUAUUGGCCCUCCUGCCUUCCUUGGGGCUCCCCGCGUUCCUGGCCUGGCUCUGUUCAUCACUACAGAGACCCCAAUGAACACCUGCAGCUCAGUUCUGUGUUCUGGCAUCUGUGUGGGGUUGGCUGUGACCGCAUAUGCAGAGUGUGACCAGGGUCCCAGUGUGAAAAUAUGCGACUGAGGAAAAACUCUACAGGUGUAGCAUA